UAAUGCAAGGAGCUUCGUUUCAUGCAGCACUUCCAAAGAAAAAGAAAAGGAGAAUUUUGUUUGCAGCCAUGAGUUUUACUUUCUACAAAAACGUGUACGCAGAACUUAUAAAUUUUGCUAUGCAGUCCGCUGCUGUAAACUCGGCAAUCAGUUAAUAUGAAGUAUUAUCCCUGCAGCUUCAUUUACAUGUCUUCUCUGUGUACACAGAACUUAUAAAUUUUGCUUUGGAUGCAGUCCGCUGCUGUAAACUCGGCAAUCAGAAAAUAUGAAGUAUUAUCCCUGCAGCUUCAUUUACAUGUCUCUCUAAUUUCUCCAUAUGAAAUUUGCUGUUCAAACAGGAAGCUGGCUGCAGUGAUGUUUUAUAAUUCAACGGCUUCGAAACUUACUGGAAAGGCAAUUUGCCAAAAAUUAUGGCCGAAGGGUAAAACAAACAACCAAGCUUUACAUGGGAAAUUCCAAGCUUCUGGAGAAGGCCAGGCUUCACUCUGAGUUGUCUACCCAAUGAAGAGGAAAAAGCAGAAUAGCUGAAUUACUCAUACACCCUGGGGAAAAUGCAUAAGAUGGGAAAGAGCAUCAGCUCUCAGUAUUUUUUUUUGUUGUUGUUCAGAACUGAGAUUGGAGUGUUCAGAGAUCGUGCGAGCUUCCCUCUUUGGAUUUGUUUUCCAUUGUGUUGUGUUUUUGAUAUUAGUAGUUUGAGAUGGUAACUACUGAUUGAGCUGUGCUAUACUAAAAAGAGCUAUAUAAGUACUUGUAGAAAGCUCUAGAUCUGUAAAAUAUUUCUUUUGUGAAAAUAAA